rnacentral:misc_RNA from 1 species
AGGGAGAACAUUUUUUAUAGCACCAAACCAGAGCAGGGAGGAAAAACCAAAACAUUUCAACCAACAAGAAAAUGGACCAAAAAAACCCACAUACUAAUCAAUAAACUAAGUUACACUUAAGUCGCACUACAGCCAGUUACAAUCUGUUUCUUAACCUUUGGCUAAUUUCGAGCACUAAAAACUAUAACUACAACCUUUCCCUUUCUAUUUUCCAGUAAUUUCUCAGCAACCAAACAGAAAAUGAACCUAAGAGCAUAAUAAAAAUAAUUCAAACUUCGUAAAAUAACUAAAAAAAAUAUUAGAAUUAUUAAAAAAAACUAAAAAUAUUUAGAUUUAUUAUUUGUUUUAAUUUAACCUAAAAAUUCUCUCUAA